GACGAACGCUGGCGGCGUGCCUAAUACAUGCAAGUUGAGCGCUGAAGGUUGGUACUUGUACCAACUGGAUGAGCAGCGAACGGGUGAGUAACGCGUGGGGAAUCUGCCUUUGAGCGGGGGACAACAUUUGGAAACGAAUGCUAAUACCGCAUAAAAACUUUAAACACAAGUUUUAAGUUUGAAAGAUGCAAUUGCAUCACUCAAAGAUGAUCCCGCGUUGUAUUAGCUAGUUGGUGAGGUAAAGGCUCACCAAGGCGAUGAUACAUAGCCGACCUGAGAGGGUGAUCGGCCACAUUGGGACUGAGACACGGCCCAAACUCCUACGGGAGGCAGCAGUAGGGAAUCUUCGGCAAUGGACGAAAGUCUGACCGAGCAACGCCGCGGGAGUGAAGAAGGUUUUCGGAUCGUAAAACUCUGUUGGUAGAGAAGAACGUUGGUGAGAGUGGAAAGCUCAUCAAGUGGCGGUAACUACCCAGAAAGGGACGGCUAACUACGUG
rnacentral:rRNA from 1 species